GACAGUCGAACGAUGAAAGCCCUUCGGGGUGGAUUAGUGGCGAACGGGUGAGUAACACGUGGGCAAUCUGCCCUUCACUCUGGGACAAGCCCUGGAAACGGGGUCUAAUACCGGAUAACACUCCUGCCUGCAUGGGCGGGGGUUAAAAGCUCCGGCGGUGAAGGAUGAGCCCGCGGCCUAUCAGCUUGUUGGUGGGGUAAUGGCCCACCAAGGCGACGACGGGUAGCCGGCCUGAGAGGGCGACCGGCCACACUGGGACUGAGACACGGCCCAGACUCCUACGGGAGGCAGCAGUGGGGAAUAUUGCACAAUGGGCGAAAGCCUGAUGCAGCGACGCCGCGUGAGGGAUGACGGCCUUCGGGUUGUAAACCUCUUUCAGCAGGGAAGAAGCGAAAGUGACGGUACCUGCAGAAGAAGCGCCGGCUAACUACGUGCCAGCAGCCGCGGUAAUACGUAGGGCGCAAGCGUUGUCCGGAAUUAUUGGGCGUAAAGAGCUCGUAGGCGGCUUGUCACGUCGGAUGUGAAAGCCCGAGGCUUAACCUCGGGUCUGCAUUCGAUACGGGCUAGCUAGAGUGUGGUAGGGGAGAUCGGAAUUCCUGGUGUAGCGGUGAAAUGCGCAGAUAUCAGGAGGAACACCGGUGGCGAAGGCGGAUCUCUGGGCCAUUACUGACGCUGAGGAGCGAAAGCGUGGGGAGCGAACAGGAUUAGAUACCCUGGUAGUCCACGCCGUAAACGUUGGGAACUAGGUGUUGGCGACAUUCCACGUCGUCGGUGCCGCACUAACGCAUUAAGUUCCCCGCCUGGGGAGUACGGGCGCAGGCUAAAACUCAAGGAUUGACGGGGGCCSSNCAAGCASCGGAGCAKGUGGCUUAAUUCGACGCAACGCGAARACCUUACCA
rnacentral:rRNA from 1 species